GCGUGGGUAACCUGCCUCACACUGGGGGAUAACAGUUAGAAAUAGCUGCUAAUACCGCGUAAGCGCACAGUUCUGCAUGGAACGGUGUGAAAAACUCCGGUGGUGUGAGAUGGACCCGCGUCUGAUUAGCCAGUUGGCGGGGUAACGGCCCACCAAAGCGACGAUCAGUAGCCGGCCUGAGAGGGUGAACGGCCACAUUGGGACUGAGACACGGCCCAAACUCCUACGGGAGGCAGCAGUGGGGAAUAUUGCACAAUGGGGGAAACCCUGAUGCAGCGACGCCGCGUGAGUGAAGAAGUAUUUCGGUAUGUAAAGCUCUAUCAGCAGGGAAGAAAGUGACGGUACCUGAAUAAGAAGCCCCGGCUAACUACGUGCCAGCAGCCGCGGUAAUACGUAGGGGGCAAGCGUUAUCCGGAUUUACUGGGUGUAAAGGGAGCGUAGACGGCAAGGCAAGUCUGAAGUGAAAGCCCGGUGCUUAACGCCGGGACUGCUUUGGAAACUGUUUAGCUGGAGUGCCGGAGAGGUAAGCGGAAUUCCUAGUGUAGCGGUGAAAUGCGUAGAUAUUAGGAAGAACACCAGUGGCGAAGGCGGCUUACUGGACGGUAACUGACGUUGAGGCUCGAAAGCGUGGGGAGCAAACAGGAUUAGAUACCCUGGUAGUCCACGCCGUAAACGAUGAUUGCUAGGUGUAGGUGGGUAUGGACCCAUCGGUGCCGCAGCUAACGCAAUAAGCAAUCCACCUGGGGAGUACGUUCGCA
rnacentral:rRNA from 1 species